UGAGCUUGAUAGUUGGCUGCCUGGACACAUCCAUAUUGUUUUUCUCACACCAGUAUAGAAGUAGUUUGCUCUUCCAUUUUUCCAAGGUUUUUUUCCCACAACCUCCUAGUUAUUGUUCAUCCAAUCAAACCCUAACUAACUUUUUCAGUAUCAGCCAAGGUCGGCUAGAUAUUGCCACUGUUGUGAUGCAGUCCAUUAAUUCACUUAGAAUAUUUCUCUACUAAAACUAGACCUCCCAGUCUGCUAACAGUGAAACCAUAUAUUUUGCAAUUUAUAUUUUACAGUGAAAUCAGAAAGCAGAUCCUUAGGGCAAGCAAAGAACAGCCAGACAGAUGCUGUCCAAAAUGAACAUAAAUGUUUUGCAUUCUGAAUAAAAAAUGAUUUGUGGGGGCCUGAUGGGAAGGGAUAUUAUUAAUAUAAGGCCCCACCAGUUAAACAUCCUUGUUCCCACCCAUCUCAUCAGAUUAGAACAAUGCUGGAGCAGAACAACCUAAAAGCUUGUUCACUCUGUAGUAAGUUAAUCAGAUGUUUUGGAAUCCACUAAACACUAACCUCUAAUGAAGAUACUUGGCUGAGAAAAUAAUUCACAAAAACAUUUAUGUAGAUACAAUCAACAUAAAAUGUCAAAGUUCUGCACGGGUUUGGAUUUAUACUAUUUUGAAUAAUCAAAAUGCAUUAUUUGUAUCUAGCACAUCUAUAUAUUGCAAUUUCAGUAAACGUCAAGCAUUCGCUAAAGCACAGCCACAGCAGACAAAGAUAUCAGAAAGACUUGAUGCCUUAUCAUCAUUUAGAAAGGUUAACCUAUUAGGCAAGUCAUGGCUCUUAUUAAUAGCCAUUUAAUGCAACAUGAAAUUGAUGAUCUAAUAAACUAUUUCUUAUUUUAA